UUUCAGAAGAUGAAACUGUUAAAUCAGGUGUAAAAAAACAUAUUAUAGUUUCAUUGGAGAGCUGAUCUUAUCUCAGUAUCCAUUUCUUUCAGAGAAGGAGAAAUGAUUUCUACAAUACAUUUGUGCUUGGAUAUUAUUUUUUUAAGGAAGACACCAAUAAAUCAAUGGAACGGUUCCAGCAUGUUAACAAGACACGGAAAAUGAGAUUGUUGAUGGUAUCCAGUGGAUGCUUAUAAGCACUUCCGGUGCAGAAAGUCUGAUGCCUUAAGAUUCGUGAUGUGCAUUUUUGCAACAUGGACAUAAGCUAUUACAAGGGCCAAAUUCUCAAAUGCCCUGCAAGGGUCCGCAAGUUUCAGAAGUGCAGAAACUAUGCAUUCCAGCUGUACUGUGGUAGUGACUAAUUCUGCAAACUUCAUGUGUGAAGCAAUGCCAUGCUGGUAUCAUUUCUUUCGUAACAGUUCUAUGGAAGGAAAGUGGGGUAGGAAAGGGUAGUCAUUUAGUUUACUAUAGCAUUUCACCAUUAACAUUCUACAAUACAGUUGUACGUGGCUUAGUCAUCAUCUGGUGGACUACUGAUAUUUGGUACUUUUGUUUUGUCUUUUUUCUCUUUUCUCCCAUAACCAUCAUGAGUUAACCAGUAGUAAUGGUAGAGGUAUUGUAAAGCAGCCAAUUGAAAACUAUGACUUUGUUACUUCCUCUGAUAAUCGAAGUCCUUUUCUUUCAGACUUCAGAUUUGUUGCAAUACAGUGUUGUUACAAUACUGUACAGUAUUAGAGAAGCAAGGUUUCUUUCUCAGCUCACUAGCAAUUGAAGCGCUAAAUUGAGAAAAGUAUUUCCCUGAGCAAUUUUGGUCAUUAUUUGUAAGAAAUUGGAUGUUUUAAUUUCUUGGAAACGUGGAAAAGUGAUGUUCUCCCUUCCUGUUUUAAAAUGUUUAAUAAUUGCGAAUUUUAUUUGUUAGCAUUUUUGCCUGAUAUCCCUAUUAUACAUAUUAUUUCUGAAAUCUGCAGGUUAUUCAGCCAUGAACAGAAAUCAUUCCUUUCUUUUUCCUUCUGUUCUUACUUUUUUAAAAUAGAAAAUAAGCUGGCAUGAAAGUGUUAUUGAGGGAUUGGAUUUCAUAACUCUCUGCACUAGGAACAUUGAGUGAACUAAGGAAGGAACUGGAGAAAGGGGACCUUGUUCACAGCCAUCUGCUUUCAUUGUUCAGGAUUCCCCGUCUUUUCUAUCUCUCUUUGAUCUUGGAUCUAAUCCUAUCAUUUAACAAUAAAUACUGAUAUAUACUUUCAGUACGACGGUAAAUGCUUACAUUAAUCUGUUAAAGCAGGAGUGUCAAACUCACAGUGUCACAGCGGCAUUACAUGACAUAUUGGGACUUUUUUCCCCUUCGCUAAACCGGGUGUGGGCGUGGCCAGCGCGUGACGCAUCUGGCCCACGGGCCGGGAGUUUGACAGCCCUGUGUUAGAGGAUAGGAAGACACUGGAUGUUUGACUCUGACAAGAACUGUAUGCAUGCAUUUCCUUUCCCACAAAUCACCAAUCCUCCAAGCAAUGUUCUGAUUAUUAUGACCCUUAACAAUGUUUGCAGAUUUAGAAAUUCAGCUUCUACAGUUCUGGGAGCUGGUGUCCAUACUAAAGUUGCUAAGGUUGAGAAAGAUUCUGAAGAGGAUAAUCUCUCUCUCACUCUGUGGUUGUAUCGGAGUUCCUGUCCUGAUAUAUACUUUUAAAUAUUACCAUCAGUUCUAUCUCAGCUGUUCUACAUUUCUUAUUUCAAUCCAUAAAACAAAAUUAGUACAAGUGAUAUAUAUUUCUAAAAAAUUGAUUUUGAGUAAACAACAGGACGUAGAAUAAAAUGCAAAAUAUAUGUAUCAAUGUGGCUUUUCCAAAUUAAUUUUUAAAACGAGAAGAAAUAAAAUACAUUGUGCAGUUCUUGUGACUCAGUGCUGCAUCCUAUCUUUACAGUGCAAGUUAGGCUCAAGCAAGUUAGGCUCAUCUCAUUGGUCAGAUAAUGUGGUUCAGUGUUAUGAAUUAGUGCUGUCUAGCACAUCUAGAUAUAGGGAGGAUAAAAUAAAAGGAGCUCAAGACUGUUAGAACACAGUACAAAUUCUGCAAAUCCACAACUAGAAGUUACAGCAAAUACAUUAUCCCUUAAAAUAUUUGAUACAUAGGAAAGAUCAGUUAUUGCAAGCUAAUUGUAAUGGUAUGUGGGAAGGAUCUUGAGAGACGGGGAAGAGCCACAGGGGAAGAGUUGGAUAACAGGAACUUAGGCCAUGGAAGCAAUGUGGAUGUGGCUGCCUCAGAAGGGACCUUCUGUGAUUUUUUGGACCUUAAAGAUGACAAGGGAGAAAUGUUUUGCAAGACUGAUGUCAUCCUUGUGAGGUUUACAUUUAGCUCAUCUGAGUGUGCUUCCUUUCUGGACCAUCUUGUAAGGCUGACAUCAGUCUUGCAGCUCUCUGCUGUUCCUUUUUGGUCCAGGAAAGUAGGAAGGGUUCCUUCUGAGUUGUUUGCCAUACCCACAUAGCUUCCUUAAGCUAAGCUGCCUCUUGUCCAAUCAUUUCCCUGGCUGUGGCUCUUCCCAUCUCCCAAAGUCAUUCUCACAUACCAUUACACCAAUAACUUGACCACAGCAAAAAUAGUCUUAAAAGAUAAAUAAAAAUUCAAAUGCAUCAGUAAAAAUGAAUAGAUAACAGGGUUCUCUGAGUAAAGUAUAUAUAGAAAUAUUUAGAUGCACUUAUUUGUUUGGCAUCUAUGUCUAGUAAUAAUUAGGGGUAAAUUUAAAACUAUGUUGGCAAUAUUUAGUAUUUUAAAUUAUUUUGCAAUCAUUAAGCCAUUGAAAAAAUUCAAACAGUGACUAGUCAAACCAACUAUAUCAGGGAUAUCAAGCUCACGCCAUCCCGGCGGCAUCACGAUGUAUCGGGACUUUUCCCCCUUUCGCUAAACUGGGUGCGCGCGUGGCCAGCGAUGAUACAUCCGGCCCAUGGCCCAGGAGUUUGACAGCCCUGAUCUAUAUGUUGGGUCAGAAAGAAAAGUGUUUAUAGUACUGAACUGUAAUUAACAGGUAGAAAAUCUUAUUAAUUUCAAGAAAUUAUACCAAAGAGUAUGAUAUAUCAUGCUGAUUGUAUUGGAAGAUGUGUAGAUUUUAUUUAAAUGCUUUAUCAAAGCAUUUUGCUAAUGAACGUGUAAUGGUAUAAUUAGAAACACUUUAUGUAUAUUCAUUUUGGGGAAUUAUAGCUUGCAUAUUGUAAGCAUAGAUUCUUGGUUGCCUUAGGAAGUCCCUUCCCAAUGACUGUUUAUGUUUAGCUCUACAGACUUAAGACUUGAUUUACUGGCUGCUAUUAUAAAUUAGAUUUUAUGCUGCAGUUUUAAAUAAGACAAGUAUUUUCUAGUAAUUAUGAUUUCUUAUUCCAAGGAAUUUUGAUUAAUAGAAAAGACUUAAAACAGCACUUGAUUAAACAGAUCUUUGGCAUCCUGUGUUGGAGAAAUGUCCUAGCAAUUGUUAUUUUUGUAAUUUUCUAUUAAUGUAGUGACAAGGUCCAAGCAAUUAAAUGACACUAUUUACAAUACUGUUAUACAAUUUCAUUUAGAUCAUAACUACCAAAAAUGUAUCUUAUACACCUGUAUUAUAAAAACAGGUUUUCAGUUAGUCUUAAAAAUCCAAUGUGUAUUUUACAGAUUAUACUUGAAAAUUGUAAUAGAAUGAGACUCCAUGUUUACAAAAUAAAUUACUAAAGAUGGCUUUUGGAACAUUGAACAGCAAUUAAAUGGCUCAUACUUUGAUCAUAUUUUCAGAUAACAUUUUUUGUUUCCUGGUACCAAAGAGCUAAUAAACUAUCAAACAGCUUAUAUUCUAUUGCAAUCCUAGUUAUCUCCCAGGAUUCUUAAAUUACACUAGGAAAGCUUCAGGAAGCAGUUUAAGGAGUGGUCUUUUACCUUAAUCCUGCCAAGUUUAAGGAGUGGUCUUUUACCUUAAUCCUAAAUAUAUUUACCUGGAAGCUGUACUUAUUUUGUGAACAUCACAACUAUAUGGCUUAAGACUGCACAUUAUAGGGUAUUACGGAAGUGCUAUCCACUACGUCUUGUUUUUCCCCAGUAUAAAUUAAUAGAAUGGCAUAGUUCGGCCAAAAUUGCUGUAACCUGUGUUAUAUACCAGUGGGUACAUCAGACACAUUGCACUGUUAUUAUGACAAAGGUGUAUGCAGAUAUUUUACUUAUAGAUCUCUCUGUUGUAGUAGUAGGCUUGCAAGUAUUCAAAUCUAAAAUGGUAUGAGGAUACUUAAAGGAUACAUGUGAAUGAUGCAUCUGUUUCUUAUGUUGCAGACAGUAUUCCUAUGCACAGAAAAAGCAUAUUGCCACUAAUAAUUUAAUAAAGACUUUUUAAAUGGGCUUUUAUAAAUGAACUAUGUAAGAGAGAUCACUUUGCCUGAAAAUUUCCUAUUUUUAACUGCACCUUGUAAUAACUUCAUGUAUAUUUUCCACCAGUGUAAUUAAUUUUCAAUCAUGUUUGACUUUUGUAUAUCAAAGUACAGAUCAUGUCUUAAUUAUAACUGUUUUUAAAAAGCAUAAUCUUCAAGCCCUUCUUUGCCAAAUUGAUGGUACAUUAAUGUGUUAUGACAUAAUGAAUGCAUAAGAAAAUAAAUAACUUGGGAACAGGC